rnacentral:rRNA from 1 species
UACAGAGGGUGCGAGCGUUAAUCGGAAUUACUGGGCGUAAAGCGCACGUAGGUGGCUACGUAAGUCGGGUGUGAAAGCCCCGGGCUCAACCUGGGAAUUGCAUUCGAGACUGCAUUGCUGGAGUACGGAAGAGGAAGGCGGAAUUCCCGGUGUAGCGGUGAAAUGCGUAGAUAUCGGGAGGAACAUCAGUGGCGAAGGCGGACUUCUGGUCCAGUACUGACACUCAAGUGCGAAAGCGUGGGGAGCAAACAGG